rnacentral:rRNA from 1 species
AGAGUUUGAUCCUGGCUCAGGAUGAACGCUGGCGGCGUGCCUAACACAUGCAAGUCGAACGGAACUUUAACGGAACAAGACUUCGGUCAAGUGAAAUUAAAGUUUAGUGGCGGACGGGUGAGUAACGCGUGAGUAACCUGCCUUUCACAGGGGGAUAACGUUUGGAAACGAACGCUAAUACCGCAUAACACAGCAGAGUCGCAUGGCUCAGCUGUCAAAGAUUUUAUCGGUGAAAGAUGGACUCGCGUCCGAUUAGGUAGUUGGUGAGGUAACGGCUCACCAAGCCGACGAUCGGUAGCCGGACUGAGAGGUUGAACGGCCACAUUGGGACUGAGACACGGCCCAGACUCCUACGGGAGGCAGCAGUGGGGAAUAUUGCACAAUGGGCGCAAGCCUGAUGCAGCAACGCCGCGUGAGGGAAGACGGUUUUCGGAUUGUAAACCUCUGUCUUUGGUGACGAAGAAGUGACGGUAGCCAAGGAGGAAGCCACGGCUAACUACGUGCCAGCAGCCGCGGUAAUACGUAGGUGGCAAGCGUUAUCCGGAAUUACUGGGUGUAAAGGGAGCGCAGGCGGGAUAGCAAGUCAGCGGUGAAAUGCAUGGGCUUAACUCAUGAGCUGCCGUUGAAACUGUUAUUCUUGAGUGGAGUAGAGGCAGGCGGAAUUCCGAGUGUAGCGGUGAAAUGCGUAGAUAUUCGGAGGAACACCAGUGGCGAAGGCGGCCUGCUGGGCUCUAACUGACGCUGAGGCUCGAAAGUGUGGGGAGCAAACAGGAUUAGAUACCCUGGUAGUCCACACUGUAAACGAUGAAUACUAGGUGUGCGGGGACUGACCCCCUGCGUGCCGCAGUAAACACAAUAAGUAUUCCACCUGGGGAGUACGAUCGCAAGGUUGAAACUCAAAGGAAUUGACGGGGGCCCGCACAAGCGGUGGAUUAUGUGGUUUAAUUCGAAGCAACGCGAAGAACCUUACCAGGGCUUGACAUCCUACUAACGAGAUAGAGAUAUGUUAGGUGCCCUUCGGGGAAAGUA